CUCAAAAUUACGAGUGUGCCUGAACGCCUCAAAGUGCGAGGAGACGGCAGCAGGAAGUAGACAGCGUGGGAAAUUUUUUCGUGCAUCAUAUCAACAAAUAACGUCCACGCUAUGGUUUCCGGCAGCGGCAAUAACAAUCAGGAGCAGUGAUGUGGAGUGACGCGGUGAUGUUGUGGUGGUCCACUACCGCAAACAUGACGAAUGAGAGAAGCAGGAGGUAAAAAAGAUGGAGUCAAGUCUGGCCAGGAGGGAGCACUGGAUGUCAGCAAACUAUCAAGGACGCACACUGCUGAAUAUUUCAAUAUAGCUUCUGCUUAUCUGGCCGCCCUUAUGACCUGCCUGGAUGAGCGAGGGAGAAGGCCAAGAUUCGCAUGGCGGGUUGCAGAAUGGAUACGAUACCCGCCGAUAUCUAGAAGUGAAGAACUUUGCCUGGAGGGCUUGGGCCGCCUGCGAUGCCUGUUCUUAUGCCCGUCUCUGAGCGCGAUGUGAAGAAAAACUGCAAAAAAAAAAAGACCAAGUGCCAGCUUUAUGUUGAUGCCGGGCACCCCGCUUCGCCUUCACUGUCUUCUUCUUCUCCUCCUGCACGCUGCGCUCUUGCCCAUUCGUGACUUCUCCGAGUUGUGGAAUAUGAACACGGCUCUCUCAGCAUUCCAAUGAGAACACUAUAGAGGAUUUGGUAUGCGAGGACAUGUUCUUAUUGGAGGGUUUUUCCAAAGCUCAAUUGUUGCUUAAACAUUUUUUCUUACUCAAGGCAUUUAUCAUUACAUUUGCAGAGGUGAGGGACUCCAGUCACAUGACUUGAGUUUGAGGACUUGAGACAUGCUUGACAACUAAGACUCAACUUGCUUAUGACUUGACGCUUAUAAAAUUCCCCACUGUAACUUCAGAGUGUUAAAGAGCCUUUUUAAGAGCUUGGCAAGCAAAAACAUCAUUGUAGGGUCAAGGGCGCCAUUUGGCGUGUAAUUGUCAUAAGUCACUAUUCAUUAGUCUAAUGAUAAUAAAACAUUGAGGAUAUAUGUUACAUAUUUACGUGAGGGUGUCUUCCAAAGCAUGUUGACCACAAUCAUAAAGGGGUUGCUGGAAAUAUAAUUUAUCAUCAUAUGGGGGGAUUUAUUAGCUUGUGUAAGAUCACUCUUCUAGUCCUGACCACUGCACACUAUGCUGUGUUCCCUCAUUUAUCACAGGUGAUAAAUCUAAAUUCUCAGUAUCCAUAUUUGUACUCGGAAUGGGAGGAGCAUAAGCCGGAAUUGGGUGUAGUUUGCAUAGAAAUUUGACAAAUUAUGCGGGUGUUUAUGCUGUACAUUAUUUUAAGUCUAAAAUUGAAAGAGAUUGAUCAAUGGUUGCCAUAUUUAUUGUUUAUUAUUCAGCUAUAUGUGUACUGUGUAAGUGAUCUUUAAGAUGUUUUUAGUAUCAACUCCUCAACAACUUUCAGUUAUUUCUUAGUUACUUUCCGCUUCUUUGCUUAAUAUUUUGUUUUAUUUUACAUUUUUUUCCUCAAUGUACCAUUCAUAGGCCCAUUAAAAAAUGGCGCGAGAGCCCCUCUUCGGACAUGCCUGCUUUAUAUAUUUCACAUAGAGGAGUAGUAGUGUGUAGUGUGUAGUAGUGUGUGUAUGCUGUGCAAAGGUAGGCUUCCACAGUGGUGCACACACUGCGGCAAACCUCUUGUGAGGAUUACACAAUUUUCACAAUCACUUUUUCUUGUAAUGUGUGCAGCGUGGCAAUUUGGAACGGAUAAAAACUGGAAAAAGUGAGAGUCUUUCCUACAACGAUCCAGUAUCAAUCUGAUAACAUAGGCUCCACAAGUGACUGCUGUAGCCUCCAUGCAGCUUGGAUGCAGCAAAAGUUCCUCCUUCAAAGUCUAAAAUUGAAACAGAUUGAUCAAUGGUUGCUAUAUUUAUUGUUUAUUAUUCAGCUCUAUGUGUACUGUGUAAGUGAUCUUUAAGAUGUUUUUAGUAUCAACUCCUCAACAACUUUCAGUUAUUUCUUAGUUACUUUCCGCUUCUUUGUUUAAUAUUUUGUUUUAUUAUUUUUUUUUCCCUCAAUGUACCAUUCAUAGGCCCAUUAAAAAAUGUGGUUCACAAAUGGCGCGAGAGCCCCUCUUCGGACAUGCCUGCUUUAUAUAUUUCACAUAGAGUAGUAUUAACAAAUGUGUGUCUAUGCUGUGCAAAGGUAGGCUUCCACAGUGGUGCACACACUGUGGCAAACCUCUUGUGAGGAUUACACAAUUUUCACAAAAGUGCUAAGACAUGUCUAAGACAUGUCUGCAUAAUCCCAAAUCUUCAUAUAUCCACAUAUGGAUCCCCAGAUUUUGCCCACAUUUUUGCAAGUAGACAGCACGGACUUGGAAGUACAGUGGCUUGGGACCGCUGCACACACCAACACUGACUGACAGCAGGGUCAGUCACUGUGUGUGACAGGCCAAUGGCAGAGUGUGAAGAUUGAACAGUGAAUACAUUACCCAAUUAUUUUUUUUAUAAAUAACUUUAUUCAUAACAGCUACAGAACAGUAUGCAAACACAAUGAGGAUGACAGCUGUACUCAUUUCAUGCUCGUAAUUGUCAAAAAUGCAUUAUCCGUAACGGACUAGUAUCUGGUUCCUCCACAAUAGGUUCCCAAAAUAGCCCGCAAUAAGCAAAGUCUGUGAAGUAGCAAACUUUAUUUGUUACCAAUUCUUAUAUUUGUUUUAAGGUUGUAAAUCCUCUCAAAAUAUACAGUACUUCAUACACUUUGAGAGUGUUUAAACAGGAGAGAAAUGUAAGAAAAUGUGUGUCUGUCUGAGAAAAGUAAAUUUUCUCACAUUUAUAUCCUGUUUAAACACCCUCAAAGUUUAUAAGAAAUUAUCAAGUCACUCACAGUAUCCACUCCUGAGUCCUCUCCCCGGCUUGGUUCGGCUGUAGCGUUUUUGUGUCCUUGCUCCUGUUACUGUUACUGUUUUACGCUUCCUUGUUGUCCUCCAUGAACCGAAGAUUAAUUCAAAAGGAAAAAAUAGCAGUAGUGCACAAAGGAGAUUGAUCGACUGUGGUUUAUAG